GCGGAUUAUCUGAGGUCAGGGCCCAGGGAGCCAGAGCGGCCUCAAGAAUCUCCAGUGGCGCGUGACAUCCGACCUGAGUCCCAGGGAAGAAGCUCGAAGCCAGGACUCAGAAGCGCAGGCUCCCAGCCUGGACGGUCUCGCCUGCCCCACACCUCCUUGGGGCUCAGAAAAGAGGUCUCUAGCAGCAGCAAUCGGUUUGGGUCCCCCCCUUCCCGGAUUCCACGGAGCUGGUUGUUGAACACUUACCAGCAUGCCACUGCCUCCCAGCCUGCCUCCAUCUCCAGCUGCACUGCAUCAACUGAUUUCUCGAGUCCCUUCUGGUGGGUGCUGAGGUAGGUGGAGAUGGGAUUUUAACCCAAGCAAGUCACCCAGCCUCUCUGUUUCUUAAUUUCACAAAUGA
rnacentral:lncRNA from 1 species